GUAGAGAAAUGUGAUGUUUAAUUGUCUUUCAAAAUAAAUCCUUCAUAAUACCUCCAACAAAUAACAUAAACACCACAGCAUACAUUUACCAUCAAAACCAGCAGGAAUCGCAAUACACAUCAUACAUGCACCAGAAGACUGUGUAUGUACACCAAGGCAACAUACAUGAACACCAAACCACUAUGCACGUACCUUAAAAAAACACUGCAGGUAUGUCAAAACAGCACACACGUACUUUUAAAUACCUUGCAUUCCCCAAAACACUGGGCAGGUACACUAAAACACAGUAAAUAUACGCUAACAUGCCAUGCAUGUUCCACAAACAGCAUGUAUGAACUGUAUGUAUGUUUCUACAUGAACUUUUGUAUGAACUACAAAUACCAUGCAUGUACCCCUAAACACUUUGCUGGUACACUAAACACCAUGCAUUUUCAAAACACUCCACUAUGUCCCAUACAUGUAUCCCCAAAUGCCAUGCAUAUUCCAGAACACUGUACUCUGAACCACAAUGUGUGUACCCCAAACAACAUGCAUGUAUGCCAAAUCAUACAUAACAUUCUCCAUUUUUUUCCUGCAAAUAGGAAAAAAAACAAUUGAACAUAGGCCAUGUUUGUUUAGCAGUUACUGGCAGCUGGAGGUGCAAUGACCCUUACCAAAGUCCAUCUGAAGAGGAACUGAGCGUAUUAGCAGCAUGCUGACACUCAGAGGUGUAGAUGUGGAGCCUCCUCCCAUUGGGUUGCAGCUGGAGUUUCAGACCCUCUUCACUCCUGAAGCUCUGCAGUUUCUGCAUGAUCUGUGCUCUACGUUCCAGCCAGAGGUAGACAGGAUCCUAAAACUCAGAGUUCUCAAAAAGGUUCAGCUGGACCUGACCGGAGAGCUGCCAGACUUCAGAGCAGACACAGCUCACAUCCGUAACAAUCCCACCUGGAGGGUCAGCCCUGUCCCUCAAAGACUGAGGUGCAGACAUGUGGACAUUGGUGACCUUGCACCCUGUGAUACGCAAUGUCUCAUUCAGGGCCUCAGAUCCAAAGCCCAAGGACUACAAGUUGAUUUUGAUGAUGGAAACUGUCCAACGUACCACAAUCAGAUUAAAGGCAUUUAUAAUGUGUAUCAGGCUGUGCACAACCUGUUUCAUGAUGCUCCUCCUAUAUCUCAGGCCCCGGUCCUGAUGCUACGACCACGCGCGUGGAACAUGGUGGAACACAAUAUGAUGGUAAAUGGUCGGCAGGUCCCUGGUCCGCUCUUUGAUUUCGGCCUGCUGAUGUUUCAUAAUGCAAAGCUGUUGCUGGAGAACCAGAGUGGCCCAUUCUUCUACCUGUCCAAGGUUGAAAGUCACCUGGAAGCAAAACUGUGGAAUCAGAUUUUUCUCUGGACAGAGGGGAAGCUUGGUCUGCCGGUGGGCAGUGUAAAGGCAACAGUGCUGAUUGAGUGUGUUUUGGCCUCGUUUGAAAUGGAGGAGAUUCUGUAUGAGCUGCGGGAACACUCUGCUGGUCUAAACUGCGGCAUCUGGGAUUAUUCUGCUUCCUUCGUCAAUAAACUCGGUCACCGGGCUGAGUUCCUGCUCCCUGACCGCAGCAAGUAUGUGAAUAUGGAGAAGCGUUUCCUGCGCAGCUACAUGGACCUGCUGGUACAGACAUGCCAUCGCAGGGGAGCCUUGGCAACCGGUGGCAUGGCAGCAUUGCUGUUGCCUGGAGACAGACAGAGUGACCUUUACAAGACCGUAGUGACCACUGUCACCAGACUGAAGCUGCUGGAGAUCCAGGCGGGGGUUGACGGCUUCAUGGUUUAUGACUUGGACCUGAUUGAGCCCAUGCAAAAUCUGUUUCGAGCUUAUUCGCAGGGAGAGAAUCAGCUCCAGCAGCUACGAGAUGACAUCACUGUGACCCCUGAAGACCUGCUUACUAUGCCAGCGGGCGGAGUCACACUGUACGGGCUGAGGUACAACAUUGCUGUUGGUGUGCUGUUUAUCAACGCUUGGCUUUCAGCUGUCUUUGCAGGAAACCAAAGCAUCCAGAGGAAACCUAUGCAGACAGAGAAAGAAUGUGCAAACUCCACACAGAAAGACCCGGGUCACCCCAGCCGGGAAUCAAACCCAGGCUGUCUUGUUGCAGGGGGCAUUUCUUCUACAAAGGGCAGGUGGAAGACUCUGCCACUGCAGAAAUCUCCAGAUCUCAGGUGUGGCAGUGGAUUCGGCACCAGGUGAAACUGGAGGAUGAUGGGAGGUCAGUGACUCGGUGGCUGGUCAGAAGUUUGACACAAGGCCUGAUGGUGGAUUUGAGGGCUGCGAGUUGUCAGACACAGAGAGAUGAAGAGAGGUUGACGACAGCCAUGUCCAUCUUUCUGGAAGUAGUCCAGAAGAGUGAUUUUCCAGAGUUCCUUACUACCUACCUGUAUCUGGACCACACCUUCCUGAGCUCACAGUC